GAUGACGAGGCUCUACGGAGCUGAAGUAACUCAAACCACAAUUACAGGAAAAGCCACUAAGCGAAAGGCUUUACAAAACCGUACUGAAAAACGACACAGGUGGUCAGGUAGAGAAUACUCAGGCGCUUGAGAGAACUCGGGAGAAGGAACUAGGCAAAAUAGCACCGUAACUUCGGGAGAAGGUGCGCCGGCGUAGAUUGUAAGGGCUAGCCACUGAAGGUUGAACCGGUCGAAGAUACCAGCUGGAUGCAACUGUUUAUUAAAAACACAGCACUCUGCAAACACGAAAGUGGACGUAUAGGGUGUGAUGCCUGCCCGGUGCUGGAAGUUAAUUGAUGGUGUCAUCGAAAGAGAAGCACCUGAUCGAAGCCCCAGUAAACGGCGGCCGUAACUAUAACGGUCCUAAGGUAGCGAAAUUCCUUGUCGGGUAAGUUCCGACCUGCACGAAUGGC
rnacentral:rRNA from 1 species